rnacentral:rRNA from 1 species
UAACACUGCGGAUCGCAUGGUCUGCGGUUAAAAGCUCCGGCGGUGAAGGAUGAGCCCGCGGCCUAUCAGCUUGUUGGUGAGGUAAUGGCUCACCAAGGCGACGACGGGUAGCCGGCCUGAGAGGGCGACCGGCCACACUGGGACUGAGACACGGCCCAGACUCCUACGGGAGGCAGCAGUGGGGAAUAUUGCACAAUGGGCGAAAGCCUGAUGCAGCGACGCCGCGUGAGGGAUGACGGCCUUCGGGUUGUAAACCUCUUUCAGCAGGGAAGAAGCGAAAGUGACGGUACCUGCAGAAGAAGCGCCGGCUAACUACGUGCCAGCAGCCGCGGUAAUACGUAGGGCGCAAGCGUUGUCCGGAAUUAUUGGGCGUAAAGAGCUCGUAGGCGGCUUGUCACGUCGAUUGUGAAAGCCCGAGGCUUAACCUCGGGUCUGCAGUCGAUACGGGCUAGCUAGAGUGUGGUAGGGGAGAUCGGAAUUCCUGGUGUAGCGGUGAAAUGCGCAGAUAUCAGGAGGAACACCGGUGGCGAAGGCGGAUCUCUGGGCCAUUACUGACGCUGAGGAGCGAAAGCGUGGGGAGCGAACAGGAUUAGAUACCCUGGUAGUCCACGCCGUAAA